rnacentral:rRNA from 1 species
UACGAAGGGGGCUAGCGUUGCUCGGAAUCACUGGGCGUAAAGCGCACGUAGGCGGCUUUCUAAGUCAGGGGUGAAAUCCUGGAGCUCAACUCCAGAACUGCCUUUGAUACUGGAGAGCUUGAGUCCGGGAGAGGUGAGUGGAACUCCGAGUGUAGAGGUGAAAUUCGUAGAUAUUCGGAGGAACACCAGUGGCGAAGGCGGCUCACUGGUCCGGUACUGACGCUGAGGUGCGAAAGCGUGGGGAGCAAACAGG